rnacentral:rRNA from 1 species
UACGUAGGGCGCAAGCGUUGUCCGGAAUUAUUGGGCGUAAAGAGCUCGUAGGCGGCUUGUCACGUCGGUUGUGAAAGCCCGGGGCUUAACCCCGGGUCUGCAGUCGAUACGGGCUAGCUAGAGUGUGGUAGGGGAGGAUUGGAAUUCCUGGUGUAGCGGUGGAAUGCGCAGAUAUCAGGAGGAACACCGAUGGCGAAGGCAGAUCUCUGGGCCGUAACUGACGCUGAGGAGCGAAAGCGUGGGGAGCGAACAGG